ensembl:lncRNA
GGCAGUUAGUUUGGAGUGGUCAUCCGCUCCACUCAGUGUAAUCCGUUUGGCUGGAGCAAUGAACUGUCAGUAUUUAAUUAAUCAUACCUCACUGAAUACCACUGAUUUUCAUGCGUUUUUUUCAUACGUAGCUAUGAUAAAGGCCACAUGGUUUGGCGUGUUUUAUUAUUCAAUACUAAUUAUACCAAUAGUACGGUAAUGUUAAAUCUUGCUUGUGAAAAGUAAUCCCCCGAUUCCCAUUAUGGAUUGUCCGCCGAUUUGAGCAGGAAUACGCUGAACAACAGCCCGGCAUCCUGUUUCUGCUGCUGUUGCUUCUCCCGGUUGACCACUCCAAGAUGGCGGCCAUAUUUCUCACGUCCCAGCAGCCAAUGCUCCGUCUAUCUAUAAGAUGUUUAUGUUGACAACCAUAAGAAACCACCUGGCAGUUAGUUGGACGGGAGUCCCCUGAGGGAAUCUGGCGGAACGUACUGGAUUGUAUUUGCGUAACCUCGAGCCGUUGCCAACGGAAACAAUUUUUCAGUCGGUUUCCAUUGGGAAUUGUUGCCCCUAUUUUAAGCAACUAAAGUUUGAUAUUUAAUACAUACUGACACGUACGUCGUACAAUAUGUUGAUAAUUUCCGAUGGUUGCGCCGUACUCUUAACCACGAUGACGUUGCGGGACUCUCACUGCGUACAAAACAGCGUUCUACUUGCGGGCCCAAUUUUGACAUCAAGGAAGGCUUAAAAUCAUUUCAAGAUGGAAGAUAAUUUGACAUUUCUUCAACGGAACCCAGCACCUGAAUAUGGCUGAGUAUAUUUGAUUUAAUAUCGAUACUGCUUAGUGUUCUUUGUUACUUCAGCUUUUGUACGUUCUAAAUAUCUGCUGUCAUUCAUUGCCACAGAAGUUAAACCCUACCCAAUAGAAUGACGUUAAACAACGACUUUGGUGCAGAGUUAACAACUGGAUAAUAUAAAAGCUAAAAUAAUGGCCGUCAUUCCCACAUGUUACAGUAGAAGAUACUCUAGAACUGUACAAGGUUAAAAAUGUAACAUGUAGUUUGUCCCAAGGUGUCUGCCUCCUCACCCAGAGCCAGACCUCCACCUCCUCACCCAGAGCCAGACCUCCACCUCCUCACCCAGAGCCAGACCUCCACCUCCUCACCCAGAGCCAGACCUCCACCUCCUGUCAGAAGUCCUCCAGAACAGCUGAAAGGCGAGGCUGAGAGGCUGGGGACCGGAGGCUUGUGGUGCCAGGGUGGACCGGAGACUGAGGCUGGAGACCAGGGGCCUGCAGCACCGGACCAGAGGACCAGGAAUCCAUGGCUGAAGGCGCUGAUGGAGGAGCCGUGCUGAUGGAGGAGCCGUGCUGAUGGAGGAGCCGUGCUGAUGGAGGAGCCGCGCUGAUGGAGGAGCCGUGCUGAUGGAGGAGCCGGAUGGAGGAGCCGUGCUGAUGGAGGAGCCGUGCUGAUGGAGGAGCCGUGCUGAUGGAGGAGCCGUGCUGAGGGCCCUGGGCUGGUGGAGGAGCUGGUGGAGGGCCUGCCUGGGGAAUGACGUCUAUCGUAGACCAGGACUCUGUCUGAGGAGAGCUGCUGUAGGAGCUGAGACGCUGGAGGACGACUAGGAAUCGACCAACAAGGAUUCCUCAACGUGUUUCUGGAGCGGAGGCGAGCUGGUAGGGGAGCCGUGAAUCUGGAGGAUGACCAUCACUCUACAAACAAGGAUUGCAAACCAGGACUCUGGCUGAGGAGAGCUGAUGGAGGAGCCAAGACUCUGGAGGACGACAUCACUCCACCAACCAGGAUCCUCGUAAGUUUGCCUAAAAUAAACAGAGUGGACUUGUUGUAACGCAGGAUUAGUUUGUCCAGUACAAGUUACGGCAUACUAUUGUGGUUGUUUACCAGACAAACUACAGCUGCUACUUUGUUAGAGCGUGUUUGCGCCCUAAAGCCUGCCUGCUCCUUAAUGACUUAUCUUUGGUUCAGAUAAUGUUGCAUCUUUUGAAUAUUGAACCUAAUCAAUGUCCUUGUUUGGUCCGGGCAGACACACCUGAGCUGAACCUCACCUGAUCCUGACAUCCUGCUGGUCCCGUCUCCUCAGUUCAUCUGAGCCUCGUCCUCCAGAAGACCUGCUGAGCUCAGCAGUCUGAGGCUGAUGGAUCAAUGACCUCCAGUGGGAGUCAUCUUCUUGACCCAACAUGUAACCGUGUGCUUCCACACGCCUUUCCCUCACGUCUGUCACUAACCUCACUACUUCACUACUCUCUACUGCUUCCUCUUCUUCUUCCUUCUCUGUGGUUCGAACCUUUACACUGGAGGCGCGUCUCCAUGCCCUCAGAGGGUUUAGCGUUAGGGUUGAGAGUCAGGGUUUAGAGUCAGGGACAGAGCUGGUCAGGGAGGACUGCUUUUACACAAACCUCUUCACUUGCUUUCGGAAUGGUGGUGACAUUUUGAAAAGAUUCAUUUGGGAAAAUGUUUUCCUCUGCUUUCCUCUACAAAAUUGUAUUAAACUUCUGUCAAGUGUUUUUGUUUAUAUAUUAAAAUCCCACAUUGACUUCUACAUGUUUGGUGCGG